AUACCACUUGUUGCCUCGGCGGAUCAGCCCGCUCCCGGUAAAACGGGACGGCCCGCCAGAGGACCCCUAAACUCUGUUUCUAUAUGUAACUUCUGAGUAAAACCAUAAAUAAAUCAAAACUUUCAACAACGGAUCUCUUGGUUCUGGCAUCGAUGAAGAACGCAGCAAAAUGCGAUAAGUAAUGUGAAUUGCAGAAUUCAGUGAAUCAUCGAAUCUUUGAACGCACAUUGCGCCCGCCAGUAUUCUGGCGGGCAUGCCUGUUCGAGCGUCAUUUCAACCCUCAAGCACAGCUUGGUGUUGGGACUCGCGUUAAUUCGCGUUCCUCAAAUUGAUUGGCGGUCACGUCGAGCUUCCAUAGCGUAGUAGUAAAACCCUCGUUACUGGUAAUCGUCGCGGCCACGCCGUUAAACCCCAACUUCUGAAUGUUGACCUCGGAUCAGGUAGGAAUACCCGCUGAACUUAAGCAUAUCAAUAAGCGGAGGAA
rnacentral:rRNA from 1 species